CCCAACACCUUCAGAUGGAGUUCAUUGAGCUUCAAAGCGACAGUGGCCUGAGAGCAAAGUUCCAGGAUGCUGCAAUCCAAGACUUUUACCGUCUGCUGCCCCCUGAUCUGAUGCCACAGCUUCAACUUCAUGCUGCCCGUGUUCUGUCCAUGUUUGGGAGCACCUAUCUGUGCGAACAGAUGUUUUCAAUCAUGAAUCUGAACAAAAACAAGUACAGAUCACGCCUCACUGAUGACAACCUCCAUGCUGUUCUACGGAUUGCCUCAGCACAGGACCUAAAACCAGACAUUGACACACUGGUAAUGGGAAAACGGUGUCAGACAUCUGGUCAGAAAACACACAGAACAUGAUCAAUGGAUGGUAGAGAGGGGAUCCACUUGGUGUGUUCAAGGACAGGCAGCAUCUCCUCAUCAAAAACUAACCUAAAAACUUGACUAAUAUAGUUGUGAACCGAGUCAACCUUUAUUUUGUUAUUUUUUUAGUUGAUUCCAUAUUAUUUAUGUGUGUAGUUGCUGUUGCAAUUAUUUGGUGUUUGCAGGUUUUAUGUGUGUAUGCAGACAAAUUAUUGUAAUCAAACCAUCAGUUGGAUGCAAGGCUGUGUGCAGCCUUUUUUUGUAAAAUGCUACAUCUGUCAUACAUGUUUUUAGCAGCUCACAAUUGUUGAUUCUGUUGUAAUUAAGCCCAUUUUAACUUUGACAAACGUUUGUAAUAAAGUUAAUGUUAUAACUUG